AGUGAACGCUGGCGGUAGGCCUAACACAUGCAAGUCGAACGGCAGCACAGUAAGAGCUUGCUCUUACGGGUGGCGAGUGGCGGACGGGUGAGGAAUACAUCCGAAUCUACUUUUUCGUGGGGGAUAACGUAGGGAAACUUACGCUAAUACCGCAUACGCCCUACGGGUGAAAGCAGGGGAUCUUCGGACCUUGCGCGAUUGAAUGAGCCGAUGUCGGAUUAGCUGGUUGGCGGGGUAAAGGCCCACCAAGGCGACGAUCCGUAGCUGGUCUGAGAGGAUGAUAGGCGACACUGGAACUGGGACACGGACCAGACGCCUGCGAGAGGCAGCAGUGGGGAAUAUUGGACAGUAGGCGCAAGCCUGAUCCAGCCAGACCGCGUGGGUGAAGAAGGCCUUCGGGUUGUAAAGCCCUUUUGUUGGGAAAGAAAAGCAGCAGGUUAAUACCCCGCUGUUCUGACGGUACCCAAAGAAUAAGCACCGGCUAACUUCGUG
rnacentral:rRNA from 1 species